UGGGGAAUAUUGGACAAUGGGCGAAAGCCUGAUCCAGCGACGCCGCGUGAGUGAUGAAGGCCUUCGGGUUGUAAAGCUCUGUUGAGGGAGAAGAAAGCAGUUAGAACUAAUAUGUCUAGCUCUUGACGGUAUCCCUUUAGAAAGCCCCGGCAAACUUCGUGCCAGCAGCCGCGGUAAUACGAAGGGGGCUAGCGUUGUUCGGAAUUACUGGGCGUAAAGGGCGCGUAGGCGGCGCGGUAAGUCACUUGUGAAAUCUCUGAGCUUAACUCAGAACGGCCAAGUGAUACUGCAGUGCUAGAGUGCAGAAGGGGCAAUCGGAAUUCUUGGUGUAGCGGUGAAAUGCGUAGAUAUCAAGAGGAACACCUGAGGUGAAGACGGGUUGCUGGGCUGACACUGACGCUGAGGCGCGAAAGCCAGGGGAGCAAA
rnacentral:rRNA from 1 species